UCGGGACAAACAGAAAGUCGAACAAAGAUGGAUGGAUGAAUAGAUGGAUGGCUGGAUCGGAUGGAGGUUAUCAGAGAUACUUAACGCAAACAUAACUAAUGUUGAAUUAUGCAUAUAGAAAACAUAAAAUACAGUUACUCACACGCAAAACGCAUCAAGUACAGUAAAUAAAUCCAUCAAUGGCGCUUAGCACUAGGCCAAAACUUAAA
rnacentral:sRNA from 1 species